rnacentral:lncRNA from 1 species
GGAAAGUGGUUACCAAAAUUACUUUAAUAUUUCAAUUGGUCAGUAUUUAAAAUUAACUAAAUUUCUCAGAAAUUAACUUUUAACGGCGACCGAUUUCGUACGAGAUUUGAAGAUGCCGAGGACCAGUUACCGUCAGCACCGAAAUUGUUACAAUUCUCUCUCAAUGGUUGUCAGAUGAGUUUAAACACGGUCUCAAACUAUUUUAACAAAUUGUAUAGUAUUGAUUUUUUACAUUAAAUGUUAUGAAUCAAUUUGGAGAUGAGCAAAUAUUUUUUUAUCGCUGAAGCGUCGUCUUCGUUACGCAGGAGUUGUCUCUCUUUGCUUACCUCGUCAAAGUGCCUCAUUUUAAUUUGGCGCCCUUUUAGAUGAAUUGUAAACCCCGGCGUUGAACAACAUGGAAAGCAUGGCUGGAAGUGGAAUGAAGUUGACUGACCAAUUAUGAGGAGAACAAAUUUGAAGACAGACGAAUAAUCAGUCAAGAUUUUACUCAAAACAUGCAAAAAGACCGCACGUUUGGUGGUGAUAGUCGAGAUCGACUUGAAAUCGGAACUUUCACUUUCAGACAGAGCCUCCAGUUUACAUGCAGCAUUGCAGGUAAUUUCACUGAAACGUAGUCGUAGGUCAACAUUUAAUUGAUAGGUGACAAUCAGACAUUUUUCCAUUUGUUAUCAGUGUAGGAUCCAAAACUUUUCCUAAAAGGGGAAGGGGUCUGACUGACCUAAGCGAAGGGGGAGGCACUCUUUUUUUUAAUAGUCGUGCUUCAAUGAUUCCCUACAUAAUCAACCAAUUUUUUCCCACAAAGAAAAGGGGGUGAUCUGCCUAUGGUUAUGACAACCUGAAGAAGGAGCGGUUGACCUUUUGAUUCUAGUUGUUUUAAGGGGAUGACGGCAAUUUCAAUAUUUUUACGUCAAACCCUACCCCCCCCUUUUUCAAUGUGUCCUUUAAAAAGAGAAACAAGGGUUGAUAGUAUAAACACAACAGACAACACCAAGAAAGAUGAGUGAAGAAGUUAUGGAAUUUUAUUGACUUGUCUUAAUAUUACUGAUAGUUUUCCCAACCUAUUCCAGCAGCUUAAUUGUCCUUUCACAUUGUAUAUAUUUAAUAUCAUAGGAAGUGCCCCCACCCUUUGUGAAACCAAUUUGAGGGGUCUUCAUUUGCAUCACAUGGUUAGGUUAACUUUUUAACAUAUGACUUGUGCUGAUGUGUGUUGUGUUAGUACUUACAAAUUAUGCCACCUGCUAGCCCCUGAGUCUGAGUGUACCUAACUGUUUAUGAGGCAUGCUAUAAAUGUCCCAAAUCUACCUUCAAUAAUGUAGCUGCAUAUCUGUACUAAAAAUACUGUGUUAAAUGUAAUCACAAUUACAGACAAUUUUGAAAUGAAUGCAAGGGCUGUAUAGCCAGCCAUGGUACAAAAUGUAGUUAACUUCAUCAUCAAUGCUCCAGACUAAAAAAUAUUGAUUCAAUUUCAGAUUAUUUAAAAUUUUCAAAAUUGUAUCUAGAGUGGGGCACCCAUAUUCGCCGGGGACACAAUUUCGCCGUUUUAUGAUUUUGAGGUGUAAAAACUUCAAAGGAUGGCUGAAAUGGAAGACAUAUACCGGUAAAUGAUAUUAUAUAACAAAUAUGAUUAUUUUUUAUAACUGAGACAAAAUUGCGGAACCUACUGAAAAGGACCGAAAAACGGACAACCAUUUUCGGCCAAUUUCCUGAAGAAAAAACACGAAUUCAAAGAAGUAUUUCUAAGUAAUUCUUUGACUGAAUGCCCCUAAAUUUCAGUUCUUAACACCUUUGAAAUGUCUGCUAUUCAUCUAUUAUGAAAUCGAUUUGAUCAAUGUUAUUAAAAGCUGCAGUUAUUUGAUUUUAAAUUGAUGUGUAAAAACAGCGAAUAUGUGUCCCCCAUUGACAUAAAAUCAGGUAAUUUCAAAUACCCUUUAAUUUAACUUUUCUGAUGAUUAUAUUCAAACAAACACGUUUUCAAGCUUAAGAAUAUUUUGCAUUUGAAGUUAUCUUCAUAUAGAAAUAUCAGUAUACUUCAAAAACAUUCACACCUGAACAGAAACUGGAAAACAUGAAAAGAUGUGGCGAAAAUGAGCACCUCACUCUACAUCUAUUCAUAUAAUACAGAAAGGUUUUGAAGUUUUUUAGACUAGAAAAUACAAAUUUAUACUCAUUAUACCACCGCUUUAAAAAAAAAAAGGGGGGGUAUACUGUUUUACCUCUGUCUGUCCUUCCGUCAGUCAGUCCAUCCGUCCCAUGAAUAUUUUUCUCAGGAACUACAACACAAGGAUUUCUGAAAUUUGGUUUCAGGAUUUAUCUAAGUCAGCUAUACCGUGUGAUGCGAUUUCAGAUUGAUCACUUGACAACUUCCUGUUUACCGAACACUUGUAUGAUUUUACACAUGAUAGCCAAGUUGAAAAUUUUCAUCAAAUUUUUCUCACAAACUACAAUACAAGGAUUUCUAAAAUUUGGUUUCAGGAUUUAUAUAAGUCAGCUUAACCGUGUGAUGUGUUUUCAGAUUCAUCACUCGACAACUUCCUGUUUACCGAACACUUGCAUAUUUUUUCACUAUUUAUAUUAUCCACUUGCUGCUGGGGUAUCAUCAGUGAGCAGUAGCUCGCAGUUUCACUUGUUUGUACUUUAAAUUGGUUAAAAGAAACUUAUUACACAAAAAAAAUUGUCACCUUAAUGUACCCCUCAUGCAUGUCUUACAUUUAAAGGGAUAUUUAAAAACAUUGUCAUGGAAGGUCAUCUAACAGGUUGUUCUCAACCUGAUUAUGGUGCAAUGUACAUGUAUUGCCUCCCUCUUGUUAAAUAUAUUGGCUUUUUAUAAUGAUAAGCUCAAUAGUUGGUCAUACAAUGUACAUAUGCUGCAGUUUAUAGUAAGAUGUACUUGUACUACUAGACUUCUUGACCUUGUGAUUUAUUGACCUAUGUACAUAUAUGCAUGUAAUACUGUAAUCAAAUUUGCAUGUUCCUGUACUAGACUCUUUGACAUUGCUCUUGUGAUUUAUUGACAUACAAAUUACAUGUACAUGUGUAUGUUAUUUGGUUUUUAUGUUUAAUACCUUAAUACAUGUACAUCUAUUCUAUACUAUUUAUGUUAUUGUAGCUGUAGUUCAUCUGUGUCUGCAAUAUUAUACAUGUACAUGUAAUUUUGUCAGAUGUGUAUGUCUUUCUGAAGGGAUGCAACUAACCACAGCUGAAAGUUUUAUAUGAAUAUGCUAUGAUUUUAAUUUGAUAUGUCUGUCUAGCAGGGUUCUUAGUCUUGAAUGCACAAUGUUUUUGUUAGAUAUAGGUAGCUGUCAGUUAUCUGCGAGUACUCUCAGAUCUGUACCUAGUGUCUUUUUCUUGUCAGAUAAAAUGUACAAGUACCCGGCCAUGACCAAAAAGGUCCACCUGUAUUUUUGUGCAUCUGAUGAGUUGAGCCUUUUUCAACUGAUUUUUAUAGUUGUUUCUAAUGCUGUACUGUUGAACCACUGUCCCAACUUAGGGGGAGGGUUGGGAUCCUGCUAUCAUGUUUACCCUUGCCAUAUUAUGGAUGUGUGUGUCUGUCCCAAGUCAAAAACCUGUAAUUCAGUGGUUGUCUUUUUUUUAUGUGUUACAUAUUUGUUUUUCAUUCGUUUUUUGUACCCAAGUUAGGCUGUUGGUGACAUUCAGGGUCUUUUAUAGAAGACUAUGUGGUAUGGGCUUUGCUCAUUGCUGAAGGCUGUACAUUGACCAAUAGUGUCAUUUUCAUCUCUUUUGGAGAUUUGUCUUAAUAUUGGCAAUCAUACCACAUCUUUCUUUUUUUUAUUCAUCUGAAUGUUUUUUUUAGGGUCCCUAAAAGGAUGAAGAAUCUUCUUAAUUUGAACUUGUGCAAAUGUUAAUAUGUAGAUAGACAACUACCAUAAAACAAGAAACCAACAGAUGAGUUUAUAACGAAGACUACAGGUACAAUAUAAUAUUACAUAUUAAGGCAUAAAUCUUAAUAUACCUUAUAUUGACUGUGUUUGAAAAAUACACUGUUUUAGUAAUUAUUCUGCUCAUUUUGGAGGUCGUGAUUUGCAAAUAAACAAAUAUUUAAAUUUGUAUUUGUUUGAUUUUGGCAUAAUAAAACAAAGUCAAUGUUCAAUUUCUGCUACUGUAAACACAAUUUGUUUAAUCUGAGUUUGCUAGUAGACUGAAGGUUAAAUACACAUGUCUGCUAUAUCAUGUACAAUUAUUCAUUAAGCUGCUACCCAACACCUGACUAAAAUUAACUUGGCUCGUUCAAUUUUCACAAAAUUUUUACAAAAUAUUUACUUUGACCCUUUGAAAUGAAUACAAAAAUUUCAAAAAACUUGAACCAAUUGAUUUCUAGGAAGAAAUGGUUGAAUAUACAUGUAUUUCAGUUUGACAAACACUAGUUCGAUCAUUGAAAAGCUUAAAAUUUCCUGAACAGUAUAACAUGAUUAAAAUGAUUAACUGAUUUUACAGAGUUAUCUCCAGUAUUUAAGGUACUACCUUAAAUGAACAAAAUAUUAUGUAUAUGUCAUUCAGAAAUUUUUCGAUGUGAAUACUAUAUAGCCUGACAACUGUCCAUAUCUUUUCAGAUGAUUAAAAUGUUUAUAAAAAGCUUUUAUUAAAGUUAAAGAUUAUUGAAACUAUCAAUUUGAUUAUGAUUCAUAACAUCUUCAAAAAUCAUUUGCUGAUCUUUUACUUAAAUAUUGGUAUAUAUACAUGUAUAGUGUAAGAUAAUAUUGUAUACGUUAUGCAUGCAUAUCAAAACUUGUUAUUUGUCAUUACAUUUGCUUUCGGAUCUUUCAAAAACCACAUUUACUUAAUUUUUUUUUUUUUUGGAUUAGAAUAUAAAUGAAUUACCAAUAAGUUGAAUAACAGAAUAAUUUUUCAUAUUAUUAUCUUUUCAUUAAAUGAUUUGUGAACCCAGAUUAUUGGUCAAAACUUUUUGUCUCUACCACUUCCUAAUUAUUUCUUUCAGAAACAAUAUGAAGACGUGCAAAAAAGGAAAUCUAAAUCUUAAACCUUAUAUGCCUUAAUACCCAGAAAAAACUUUUAACUUUCUGCAGCUUACAACAUGUACAAUAU